AACGCAACUGGCGCGCUUGGGAUAUGCCUGAGCGCAAGUCUGUUUGAGCGGUGGAUCUACCACUUUUUGAAGAGGUGUGUGUGCGAGUCCGCAAGGGUUUCGCACCGCGAGAGUGAGGUUUGUGAGCGUUUCUAGAAGUGCUCUCCCUUGAAGUGCAGUUGUGACACGUGGCUGCUCUAAUCGCAGAGGCUGCAAACGUUUAGUUUAACACAAAACGCAUUUGCAUCCCUCAGCGUUCACACCAGCCCCGCAUACGCUUCUCUACUCACCCUCAAAUCAGACUAGAGUACCCGCUGAACUUAA
rnacentral:misc_RNA from 1 species